rnacentral:lncRNA from 1 species
AAAUUAAGCUUCGCUUUCGAUCCCCUCAUCUUGUAAGCUGCCUGAUCGUAAGCCACCGCCGCAUCCUCCGCCGUCUCAUAAGUUCCCAGCCAUACUCUCGCUCCGUUCUUCUUUGGAUCUCUGAUCUCCGCCGCGUAUUUUCCCCACGGUCUUCUCCUCACCCCUCUGUAAUUCGAUCCCUUUGAUAAUGUCCCCUGUAUGUCACGCAUCUCCCCAGUAUCUUCACUCGUUUCCGCUUUGAUGAUUUCCCCUGUAUUAAUGGUUUCAGUACGAUUGGUAAGCAUGGCCGCCACUGAAGCUUCGAAAUCAUCAGCAAGGAGAUGGUGGCGGAUUGAUUCUAGAAGAGCUGAAUCCGAAGAUUGCCAGGUAUCACUCCCCAUUCCUUCAAAAUUGAAUUGAGUUGUGUUUAGGGUUUCUGUUCAGCGAGUAUUGGGGAGUGGGUUGGUUUAUAAAGAUUUUGUGUAGGCAGUCCUGUAUAUACACACAUAUAGGUUUGGAGAUACUUCUUCCUUGGUUCGUUGGUUUUCUACAUUAACAAUCAUAUUUCCUUUGCUUCUGUGAAGUUUCAUUUUCCUUCACGUGGCCUAAUAUAUAAAUUUAUUCGUAAAAGAAUAUGAAUUUAUUAAAAAAUAAUAAUUUUAAAAUUAGCUACCUUCUGAAUUGAUUUGAUCAAAAUAGUACGUCACUAAUAUACAUACAUAUAUAUAUAUAAUAUAUAUGUAUGAAGGUUGGGGUCGUUGGUCUUGUUCAUUUCUUUUAAAAUAUAUUUAUUAUGAAGUACAGCAUAUUUGGAUUUAUUUGUAGGAAUUAUUAAUAAGGAUAAUAAUCAUAAAUAUAUUUAUAGAAAUCAUUAAUUUAUUUAAAAUUUCUGCAUUUGUAAUUAUUCUUUUCUCAUCUUAAUAAUAAUUUUUUUACGUGCAUGACAAUAAAUUACGGGAAGAUUUUUAGAGUUGGAAUAUUAUUAUUAUUAUUAUUAUUAUUAUUUAAGAUGCACGUGUGUUUAUUUAUUUAUUAUUAUUAUUAUUAUACUUCUGACUUGCAGCAGAGAAUAAUAGUAUUUGAUGAAGGUCAAAUAAUCCAACUCGUGGCAUUGAAAUUCUUACUGCAAUCUCUAGGUUCCAGGCACCAUCGUCUUUCUGCUUUUCUUUUUCACCUUUUCUUAUAUCUUUUUAGUCACGUGUUAUGUAUGUAUAACGCUUAUAUAGUUUAUUACUGCAGCCUUUUUCAUAAAUAUAUAUAUAUAUAUAUAAAAGAAAUUUCUCAUUAUAUAUA